GUUUAUGCAAACUGAUUGGAUGUAAACAAGCGAGGAAUGUUUACUUGCGGUAACUGCUGGAGCGAUAUAGACACAACGAACCGGAGAAGAUAUGACUGUGCAAAGAUGUUUGGACCAUUUCAUAAAUAUUAUUCGCAAUUUCACAUCGUUGCUAAGAGAGCUGUUAUGGACAUAGAACAGGACUCACGGAAGUGUAGUUGAAAAGAUGCGAUCAAGUAUUAAUAAGGCUUAUAUAGUGGAAUGAGGACAAAACAAUUCUGGAAUUGCCCGAAGGAAACGAAAAUGACAGAUUGAAAGACAGACUUCACUCGACUUGUUAGUCGUGAUUUAGGAACUUGACCCUGGCACCGGUUAAAAUACACAAAAGAGAGAACACUGGGGCUCGAUGCAGUAGCCUGUGGAAUAAAGGGCGAAGAGAGAAGCACAAGAGAGAUUCUCGAACGGCAAUGUGACGGUUGAUCGUUAUGAGAUGGAAAAGUGGUCAUUUUUCUCAGUUUUCAUGACGAGUUCAGACAUUUACCAGUAAUGGGAAGGAUAGAGUCGUCGACUCGACUCGAAUAGUUACUGUCACGUAAAUGGGCGAAGUAGUCUUUUAAACUACUGAUGUGUCGAGAAAACGAGAUGGAUACAAGAUAGAAGGAAUAGCAACCACUAAAUAACAGAAACUUGUCAUCGACGGAGUUGCAUUUUCACAUCAAGUAAACAAGAAUGGUCAAGGAAGAAUUAUGACAACUAAAGAACAAUCGCUUGUUCCGGACGGACCUGCAAUUGGUUUCUGAAUGCACAAACAAAUCAGUAAAGAAUUGUCUGGCGUCCUGAACAAUGACAUUCGGAGUAUUAUCAAAAGUACAUGAACAUGACGACGAGAGAAAUGUUUCUUCGAAUACAAAUUUUAUGCAGAGUGUUUUCAUAUCAGCCUUCUCCGUAAUAAUGUGAAUCGGGUUUCGUCUGUUGCAAUGCAAUUUAUUAGAGAAAGUUGUGAAAUCUCAAUUUAAGAUAUAUGCUUAUGCAUUUUCAAUAAUACUGUGAAUCGACGGUUUCGUCUGUUGCAAUGCAAUUUAUUAGAGAAAGUCGUGAAAUCUCAAUUUAAGAUAUAUGCUUAUGCAUUUUCAAUAAGCAUAACUCCUUUUGCAUCUGCCGAACACACCCAUAUGAGCUACAAGUGCCGAAAUUUUUAAUUCUUUCCUCUUUCCUCCGGAGAAUUUGUUCAAAGCAAGGUUACACACACCACUCAGAACCAAUAAACCCCAAUUCAUGCGAGUCUUGAAGUAGUUAAUCAAAGUCUAUUUGAUGAUCAAUGAAAUUACCGAAAAAAAACGUUUCGGCAUAUAUAUAUUGUAUAAAUAAAUAUUUGUAAAAUAGUCGACCGAUUCUCAUUGUUGUUGGGAGAAUGCAUUUAAUUAAAUUUACCAACAUCAAGUAUUUUAUCCAAAUUUCUUGCAUCUGAACUAGCAAAAUACGGCUGAGAUAACUCUUAUCUCAACAACUCAACGAAUUCAUGCAUGGCAAGUUUUCGAAUUGCGAUGAAAGUUUCCAAAUUUUAACUAAUUUAUAAAGUUGAACCAUAAUACUUGAUCCAAAUGCUCCUCUCUGUCAUUUAGGCUAAAAAGCCUAAUUCCGUUAUUAACCGCUCUUCAAUGUACAUAUUUAGUAAUAAAGGAUAUUCACGUGUAUUACGUAUAUAUGGUUUGCUUUUGUUAUUAUUAUAGCUAGCGAAACUAAUUUUUUAUUUUUCAAUGUU